UGAGGAAUACAUCGGAAUCUACGUUUUCGUGGGGGAUAACGUAUGGAAACUUACGCUAAUACCGCAAACGACCUUCGGGUGAAAGCAGGGGACCUUCGGGCCUUGCGCGGAUGAUGAGCCAAUGUCUGAUUAGCUAGUUGGCGGGGUAAAGGCCCACCAACGCUACCAUCCCUAACUGGUCUGAGAGGAUGAUCAGCCACACUGGAACUGACACACGCUCCAGACUCCUACCGGAGGCAGCAUUGGGGAAUAGUGGACAAUGGGCGCAAGCCUGAUCCAGCCAUACCGCGUGGGUGAAGAAGGCCUUCAGGUUGUAAAGCCCUUUUGUUGGGAAAGAAAAGCAGUCGAUUAGUACUCGGUUGUUCUGACGGUACCCAAAGAAUAAGCACCGGCUAACUUCGUGCCAGCAGCCGC
rnacentral:rRNA from 1 species